rnacentral:SRP_RNA from 1 species
AUUCCAAGUCAGUUGAGUGUCCGGACUCGAGCGAAGGCUUGCGGUUCAGACUCUCUUAGAGCGGAGACUGUGUGAGGCUCGUUUCACAGAGCAGCGUCCAACUCCCGCUUUUGACGGUUGAA